rnacentral:lncRNA from 1 species
UAAAGUUCUCCUUCUCACAUACUAAAUUCUUUACCAACUCAUUUUCAAGUGCCUUAGAAUUUCAGACACACAUCACCAGGCAUACUUAGAAAAGGCCCAUUCUCAAAUUUCAGAAAGCAAUUCAUAUAUUCAAGGUUCAAUAAUCACUCAAGGAAAAUUACUAACUUCUCCUCUCACACCUUACAUGCUUCAGCUCAAUUCACUAAAGUAUAUUAGAUGAUCUCUACACAUUCAGACAAACAAUCAAAAUGACAAAUUCUAUUCAAAGUUCGAUCCUAGCAUUUCUUAUCCAUCGCAUCCCAAAGAAGUAGAUGAAAACUGUUGACAGUUUGCAACACAAGAACCCGAGCGUGAUCAACAUUCGAACAACAGCCACAAUAUGCUCCAAAACACACCAUACUCAGCAAAGCAACUCGGAUACACAUUUUGUUUCACACACAAUUUCAACCAAUCAUAUAAAACAUUGUUUCAAGAUG